AAUCAACGCUGGCGGCGUGCCUAACACAUGCAAGUCGAACGCGAAAGGGGAGCAAUCCCUGAGUAGAGUGGCAAACGGGUGAGUAACACGUGGGUGACCUGCCUUCGAGCGGGGGAUAACAUCCCGAAAGGGAUGCUAAUACCGCAUAACAUCCUGCCUUUGGAAAGGUGGAGAUCAAAGCCGGGGAUCGCAAGACCUGGCGCUUGAAGAGGGGCCCUGCGCCUGAUUAGCUAGUUGGUGGGGUAACGGCCUACCAAGGCAACGAUCAGUAUCCGGCCUGAGAGGGCUGGACGGACACACUGGGACUGAGACACGGCCCANGACUCCUACGGGAGGCAGCAGUGGGGAAUUGUUCGCAAUGGGCGCAAGCCUGACGACGCAACGCCGCGUGGAGGACGAAGAUCUUCGGGUCGUAAACUCCUGUCGAGCGGGAAGAACAUCUGCCGGGCUAAUAUCCUGGCAGGCUGACGGUACCGCUAAAGGAAGCCCCGGCUAACUCCGUGCCAGCAGCCGCGGUAAUACGGGGGGGGCAAGCGUUGUUCGGAAUUACUGGGCGUAAAGGGCUCGUAGGCGGCCAACUAAGUCGGAUGUGAAAUCCCCAGGCUCAACCUGGGAACUGCAUCCGAUACUGGAUGGCUUGAAUUCGGGAGAGGGAUGCAGAAUUCCAGGUGUAGCGGUGAAAUGCGGUAAGCAUAUCUGNGAGGAAUACCGGGUGGGCGAAGGGCGGCAAUCCUGGACCGACCAUUUGACGCUGAGGAGCGAAAGCUAGGGGAGCAAACGGGCAUUUAGAUACCCCCGGUA
rnacentral:rRNA from 1 species